rnacentral:rRNA from 1 species
UACAGAGGUGGCAAGCGUUGUUCGGAUUUACUGGGCGUAAAGGGCGCGUAGGCGGUCAGCACAAGUCAGUUGUGAAAUCUCCGGGCUUAACCCGGAAAGGUCAACUGAUACUGUGCGACUAGAGUGCGGAAGGGGCAACUGGAAUUCUCGGUGUAGCGGUGAAAUGCGUAGAUAUCGAGAGGAACACCUGCGGCGAAGGCGGGUUGCUGGGCCGAUACUGACGCUGAGGAGCGAAAGCUAGGGGAGCAAACGGG